rnacentral:rRNA from 1 species
UAUCUCUGUAGAGUCUGCAUAUCAAUAAGCGGAGGAAAAGAAACUAACAAGGAUUCCCCUAGUAACGGCGAGUGAAGCGGGAAGAGCUCAAAUUUGAAAUCUUCAAGGUUUGACCUUGACGAAUUGUAGUUUAAAGAAGUGUUUUCAGUUAGAGGAGUAGUAAAAGUUCUUUGGAAUAGGACAUCAUAGAGGGUGAGAAUCCCGUAUUUGACUAUUCUUUCUAGCUUUGUGAUACACUUUCAAAGAGUCGGAUUGUUUGGGAAUGCAGUCCAAAAUGGGUGGUAAAUUUCAUCUAAAGCUAAAUAUUGGCGAGAGACCGAUAGCGAACAAGUACCGUGAGGGAAAGAUGAAAAGAACUUUGAAAAGAGAGUUAAACAGUACGUGAAAUUGUCAAAAGGGAAGCGUUUGACACCAGUGUUGUUUUUCCGAAAAUCAAUUAAAAAUUGAUUCAUGCCAGGUUGUAUUGACCUUAUCAGCUUGCAAUUUGGUUUUGGGUCUCUUUUUGAUGCACUUUUCGGUUAACAAGUCAACAUCAAUUUCCUUUGCUGUAAAAAGGUAAGAGGAAGGUGGCUCCAAUUUCGGUUGAAGUGUUUAUAGCCUUUUAUCUCUGCAGUCGGGGAGAUUGAGGUCUGCAGCGUAGAUCCUUCGGGGCUAGAUACAUUUAUGCUAAGUUAUAGCUUUUCAUAGACAACUUGUUGACUAUGUUUAGUCAUGUAGCUUACUCGUAAGUGCUAUUUUACCUACGCUUAGGAUGUUGAGCGCAUGUCUCUCUCU